UUGGCCCCGGGGGCAGUCACGCCGAAGCCUUCUGCGGUUUUGCCAUCCCCGUCUGCAGUCACGCCCACGGCUUCUACAGUUUUAACAUCUCCGUCUGCAGUCAUGCCACCCCAGUCCACUGACUCCCCAGUUGAGCUGGAGGGUUGGGUGCGUCUGUGGGAAAAAUCACGGUGGCAUCCCAUCAGUCGACCUCUCCUGGGUGAAAAGCGAUGAAGAGAGAGGGCUCUUCAACCCCAUUCAGGUGUACCGUGAUAACACCGGUGCACUGAAGAGGCGAUGGGUACUGAAGUCAGACUGGAUGUGGUUUCACCCUCCAGAACCUCCAGGCUACAUUAGUGGUGCUGUACCAACUCCACACAUCUUCUUCUGGAGUCGUGUCUUUGUGUGGCAGCCAGCUGGGGUGUGGAGGUGCAGGUUCGCCAUAUCUGUGAUGUAUCCAGCUGGUAUACUAUGCUGACGGAGGUCUUGCGCUGUGGACAGUGCACCAAAGCAGCCAGGAGCGAUGAAGGUGGCAAGAUGGGUCGGUGGGUGGCAUGGGAUCCUGCUAUCAUGUGUCAACUCAGUGAAGCACACCAAGCCAUGUUCCCUGCUAUCCUCAAAGACAAGCGUGGUGUGGACAAGAACGUGGUAAGACUUCUGCGGGCCCGGACAGAAGGGAACCUCUGAGGAGUGUCUUCAGAGGAAAGAUCUGUACACCACACUCCUCAUGACUCUUCUUAAUCCCGGGGGGAUUGCCUCAUUUUUCAGACACACUUUCGAGACUCCAUCUCCUCCAAGAGAGCUGCCUUCUGCCUGUCUGCUCUGUCACGCCUUCCUGAUGGCAGAUGCCAACAAUGUACAGGACUACAGGAGCCAGAUUCUCUCCACUUUUGGCACUGUGCUAAAAAUGAACUCCACUAAGAAAGUACGUACAAGAAUACAUAAUGCAAUCAAGGUUUUUGUUUAGUUGUUACAUUUGACCUCCUGCAACGGUUUUGAAUAGAAAUACAUUUACAUGGUAAUACCAUCUAUAUCUCAAUCUGGAACUAUCAGAGUCUCUCACAUCAGUCAAGGCACAGCUGAGUAGUUUACCAGCAUUGCCAAUGAGUAUUCAAAGAUUGUCUUAUUUGUGCUUACUUGUGAAGAGUCCACUGAAUGUCUGGAGCCCAUGUGUCGUGGAGUAAUGGACAGAUUCCAGCAGGCCAAUCAACCUCGGCAUUCUAGGGGGCUGGUUACGGCCCACAGGUUGCUCGCCACACUGCACUCCCAGAGCACGUGCCGUGCGGUUCCGGGCUCGCCACACCCUGGCUGCGGGCAGAUAGGAUUCGCUGCCAUGCCCCGGGAAUGCAUCAAGGCCCUGACUGGGAGGAUCUCGUGGGCGGCCAUCCAUGACCGGUCCCUGUGCUUGUUCUGAAGAGAGGAGUGGGCUGCAUUUCGCCAAACCUGUUUGGCCGGGAAUGGGGCUCACUUCCUCCCGGUCCUGCACAAGAGAGACGAGAAGUUUUGGAUUAGUUAAAAUGAUGACAUCUUUUUCCAUGUCAUAUUUCUUUAAAAACUUUGCAAUAAAUACAUAUUCUUUACAGUGUAAAAGCAACUGGCAUUUUAAGAUGUGGUUUUAAAAUUUUCAGCCUUCUCAAGUAAGACCCCAUCCAGAACUUGACCACGGCUGCAGUCUUGCUGUCCCUGGACGGGGACGUGGCAUAUCCUAUGUGCAGGGUGGUGAAUUUUGAACCUAAAAACAGGUGGUGGUCUGGGAGGCCCUUCCCUCUGUUUUCUGGCCUCUUCUUCACCACUUCUCUCCUCAGUCUCUCCCACUAAGACCCCCACAGGAAAUAAAAGACCGCUCUCUCCAGAUCUAAAAGAAAGUGUCUUGGAGAACUAAAACCAGAACAGAGGAGUAAAAGCAAAGGUAAAAAGACAGUUUUUAUUAUUAAAACCUUUCCCUCCAUCGUCAUCUGUCUUAGUCCCCAAAACCCCAGCCGCUGCCUAAUUUUCCCUAACACGUCAGUCCAAUUACCUUGUCCGCCACCCUCCUCGUCAAAUUUUUUAUAUCUUUUUCUUUAAAAUCCAAAUCCAGGUCGUCUGUAAGUCACCCCACAGUCCAAAGAGCUGGGCCACGGACUUGCUCCUAUUGAGCUUGGCGCCCGAGGACUUUCCGUACCAGUCAGUCAAGUCGAGAGCUCUAUGGACCGAUAAAACGUCCGAACAUAAAAGUGUGACGUUGUCCAUGUACAAAGUGCAAGUAGUAGUCAGUCUGCCGGGCAAGUCUAGUCCUUUGAUCGAUUUGUCCUUUCUUAAGAUCUGCACCAGCGGCUCAAUGCAAGCUACGAACAGGAGCGGAGAUAACGGGCACCCCUGGCGGACACCGGAGCGAAUAUCAAUCACUUUUGUGAGGUGCCCGUUUACCAAAAUUCUGCUGCUAAUAUCUCGAUAGAGCAAGCCCACCCACGCUAAAAACCUCCCUGGAAAACCCAUUUUUCGCAGAACCUCAAAAAGGUACUGGUGCGAGACCCGAUCGAAGGCUUUCUCAAAAUCUAAAUUUAGAACUAGUAGCCGAAUGUUUCUGUCCCUCGUGAAACGGAUGGCGUCUCGGACCAGCACUAGGCUGUCCGUGAUCUUCCUCCCGGGAACGGCGCAGGCUUGAUCCGGGUGGAUCACGUCCUCUAAAACCGUCGACAUGCAUCAUGAUAUAAAAGUUUGCUAAAAAGCUUACAGUCGAAAUUUAAAAGGGUAAUCGGUCUCCAAUUCUUUAAGUCUCUUGUGACCUUUUUUAUGCAGUAAAGUAGCUAUCACUAUCCUGAAACUGUCUGGAAGUCGGUCCAGUCUUUCAAAUUCUUUAAAAACAGUCAGAAUGUCGUUUGCUAAAAUGUCCCAAAAGGUUUGACAGAAUUCCAGGGGGAGUCCAUCCUCUCCUGGAGACUUUCCUCGUUUAAAACCUUUAAGACAAUUUUGCAAUUCUAAAAUAGUAAAAUCUUCCACUAAAACACCCUGACUGUGUAUUUUUUUUUUUUUGUCUAAAACACUUAAAAUUUCCUGCAUUGUGUCAGGCUGCACACCUUUCUCCUUGUGGAGGUUUUCAUGAAAGCACUCUACAAUGUUUAAAAUCCCUACCGUUUUCUUUUCCUCCCUUCCUUCUGUUUUCAAUUGUUAUCCCUCCUCCCCUUGAUAUAAUUUUCUUAAAAAAGUAUUGUGUGCAUUUUUGUCCUUCUUCUAUUUCUUGCUCUUUGCUUCUUAAAAUCAUUCCUUUACUUUUAAUUUCUGUUAGAACAGACAUUUCCCUUUUCACUUCUUUAAUUUCUUCUGAAAAGUCAUAUCCCUGGUUUAAAAGAUUAAAAUACCUCUGCAGUCUUUUUUGCAGCCCCAUCAUGUGCUUCUUUUCUCUCUUUCCUUUCUUUCCCUAUCCUCCUAAAAAAGGUUUUUGUCCUAGAUUUUACCAUUUCCCACCAAAGUGCUCAUGAGUCAUAGAAGUCCUACUACUACAGGAGCCAGAUUCUCUCCACUUUUGGCACUGUGCUAAAAAUGAACUCCACUAAGAAGGUACGUAUUAGUAUACAUAAUGCAAUCAAGGUUUUUGUUUAGUUAUUACAUUUGACCUCCUGCAACGGUUUUGAAUAGAAAUACAUUUACAUGGUAAUACCAUCUAUAUCUCAAUCUGGAACUAUCAGAGUCUCUCACAUCAGUCAAGGCACAGCUGAGUAGUUUACCAGCAUUGGCAAUGAGUAUUCACAGAUUCUCAUUUGUGAUUACCUGUGAAGAGUCCACUGAAUGUCUGGAGCCCAUGUGUCAUGGAAUAAUGGACAGAUUCCAGCAGGCCAAUCAACCUGUGCCUAAGAUCUUGUAUGUUGACCAUGGGUGAUGUUGUGCACAAGGCCCAACCGCUGACAAUGGCAUGGUGGUGCAUCUAGACAUAUUCCACUGGAUCCAUCGAUUUGAUGCAGCCAUUCGCACAGAGAGCCACUCCAAGUAUGCUAUGUUCAAGUCUACCCUAGCAGAAGCAGUGCUGGCCUACAAUCGCACUGACUUGGAGCAGCUCAUCAAGGCUGGCGGAGCAAAGGACCCAGCAACAAAGUGCUGCCUAAUAUGAUUCCAGGUCCCCACUGUGUGGCGUGUCCCUAUCAGGUAUACCUGAUUAGCACAAUCACACAGUGGAACUCAGACCACAGCUCUGAAGCUGUGUUUGGAAUACCUCUUCAACCAGAGCACAGGUGAAUCUGGUCCCUUCUCCCUAA